UGAACGUGUAUGUGAAUGAGAAUAUUUAGUUCAACCACCACCGCCACCUCCGCCGCCACCACCGCCACCUCCGCCGCCGCCAACGACAGCUAUUGCGCCUGUUUAGACGACACCUUCCCUAUUCUCAGCGGCGGCUACUACUAACGAGAGAAAUCAAAUUAAUGAAUCUCGUGCAAAAGAAAUUUUAAACGCGGAUCGAAGCAGACCAAUUGCAUCAAAUAUAAGCAACAAUGGAUUUAGUCAAUUCAUUAAUGGACAUACGGCAGAAAGUGCUAAUCUGGUGGCAGUAACAAGUUCCAUCAGAUAUCCCAGUACAACGAAUAUCGCAUUUCGAACAUUCACUAGUGGCUAGCACAGUGGCUUCGGCCUCGGCAGUUUUACAUACCCAACGAGGAGCCGUUGGGUAUGUGAAAUUUCCGACUUGCUUACCAAAUACGUAAUUUGGAGGCUCUCAUCAAAUUUUAAGCAUAUUAAAUGCUACAAAUUGGUGAAAAAACUACAAUUAAAACAGAUCAAUAACAACAAAAUUUUUGUGCGAGGCACUUGUAAGGAAGUUUAAGAAAUGUUACGACUUUGUUUUGGGGCAUAUGUACUGAACGUGCUCACUGUAAAUUUCGACAUGAGUUAAAUGUGGAAUAUAUGAAAGAAAUCUUAAGAUCAACCACCACCGUCACUUCCGCCGCCACCACCGCCGCCCCCGCUGCUUAGUUCCGCGUUGCCACCUUUUCCAGCAUUAUUUGCGCCGCCACCGGUCCCGCAAUGUUUACCACAACACAGCCACCACCACCAUUGCCGCAUAUGUUUGAUGCCAGUAGACCUCCUCCGCCAUUGCCAACUAAUGCAACUCCUAAUAAAAAUGGCGCUGUCAAAAGAUCUGCCGAGCUUCCUGAUGAGGGGCUGAGCUGUACCGCCAGGAGUUGCAGAAGCUGGGGUGUGAACAUGAAUUCCAGUCCUAUUUAUUCGAGAAGAGGUCUGCAGAAUAUGCCAAUGGUCGGUUGUUGCUGAAGUCAGCCGUCAGCUCGGAUUGGUUCCGCAUUCUGGAUGAGUAUAUAGAGGUACCAGAUAAAGACAAACUGGAUAAUAUAAUAAGUUAUGAAAAACUAUUAAUUAUCUUCUUGUUUUAAUAUAGGAGUAUUCUGAGCCGACGCAGCACGAACUUAGCCAGUUUAACCCGGCGUCUACUUUUCCUUCAG